GACGAACGCUGGCGGCGUGCUUAACACAUGCAAGUCGAACGGAAAGGCCCUGCUUUUGUGGGGUGCUCGAGUGGCGAACGGGUGUGUAACACGUGAGUAACCUGCCCUUGACUUUGGGAUAACUUCAGGAAACUGGGGCUAAUACCGGAUAGGAGCUCCUGCCGCAUGGUGGGGGUUGGAAAGUUUCGGCGGUUGGGGAUGGACUCGCGGCUUAUCAGCUUGUUGGUGGGGUAGUGGCUUACCAAGGCUUUGACGGGUAGCCGGCCUGAGAGGGUGACCGGCCACAUUGGGACUGAGAUACGGCCCAGACUCCUACGGGAGGCAGCAGUGGGGAAUAUUGCACAAUGGGCGGAAGCCUGAUGCAGCAACGCCGCGUGCGGGAUGACGGCCUUCGGGUUGUAAACCGCUUUCGCCUGUGACGAAGCGUGAGUGACGGUAAUGGGUAAAGAAGCACCGGCUAACUACGUG
rnacentral:rRNA from 1 species